UACGUAGGGUGCAAGCGUUGUCCGGAAUUAUUGGGCGUAAAGAGCUCGUAGGCGGUGUGUCGCGUCGGCCGUGAAAACCUGCAGCUUAACUGUGGGCUUGCGGUCGAUACGGGCAUCACUGGAGUUCGGCAGGGGAGACUGGAAUUCCUGGUGUAGCGGUGAAAUGCGCAGAUAUCAGGAGGAACACCGGUGGCGAAAGCGGCUUCCUGGUCCGACACCGACGUUCAGGCACGAAAGCGUGGGGAGCAAACAGG
rnacentral:rRNA from 1 species